rfam:Aspergillus oryzae strain BCC7051 OAory_C00, whole genome shotgun sequence.
GGCAAGGUGGUCGAGUGGUUAAGACGUAAGACUGUAUGUUGACAUGUUUCCGCUACAUAACCUAUCCAAAUACUAAUUCCUCUUCUAGUGAAUCCAAUCAUUGGAUGUUAUCUUAUCCCUUCGGGGUCGCGCGUUCAAAUCGCGUCCUUGUCG